rnacentral:rRNA from 1 species
GACGAACGCUGGCGGCGUGCCUAAUACAUGCAAGUAGAACGCUGAAGCGAGGAGCUUGCUCUUCUUGGAUGAGUUGCGAACGGGUGAGUAACGCGUAUGUAACCUGCCUUGUAGCGGGGGAUAACUAUUGGAAACGAUAGCUAAUACCGCAUAACAAUGGAUGACACAUUUCAUUUAUUUGAAAUGGGCAAUUGCUCCACUACAAGAUGGACCUGCGUUGUAUUAGCUAGUAGGUGAGGUAAUGGCUCACCUAGGCGACGAUACAUAGCCGACCUGAGAGGGUGAGCGGCCACACUGGGACUGAGACACGGCCCAGACUCCUACGGGAGGCAGCAGUAGGGAAACUUCGGCAAUGGGGGCAACCCUGACCGAGCAACGCCGCGUGAGUGAAGAAGGUUUUCGGAUCGUAAAGCUCUGUUGUAAGUCAAGAACGGGUGUGAGAGUGGAAAGUUCACACUGUGACGGUAGCUUACCAGAAAGGGACGGCUAACUACGUG